UACGAGGGGGGCAAGCGUUGUUCGGAAUUAUUGGGCGUAAAGGGCGCGUAGGCGGUGCGGUAAGUCACCUGUGAAAACUCUGGGCUCAACUCAGAGCCUGCAGGCGAAACUGCCGUGCUUGAGUGUGGGAGAGGUGCGUGGAAUUCCCGGUGUAGCGGUGAAAUGCGUAGAUAUCGAGAGGAACACCUGCGGCGAAGGCGGGUAGCUGGGCCGACACUGACGCUGAGGCGCGAAAGCCAGGGGAGCGAACGGG
rnacentral:rRNA from 1 species